rnacentral:snoRNA from 1 species
CUGCAUCUAUUUGACAGACCUGGAGCAAAUUACCAUUGCUCAUUUGGUUUUUUACUAAGAUGCAAAAGUAAAGUCAUUCCCUGCGCUUUCUGCCUGUCCAUCACAUGACAGCCCAGAUUGAAUAAGGGAAUAUAUAU